UGCAGCUCAUCUCCUAGACAACAACAGAGUGAUGCAACAAACAGAAGGGACCUGCCAACUCAUAGCUGAACCACCAGGGCAGGACCGUUGGUGCCAGCCCAGGAUGUGAUGGUGGUUGAGGGGUGGCUGACGUCCAUCAGGGCUCCAGCCCAGAACAUCCACUCUACAUAGUUACCACCAUGUGCCCCGAAGGACCAGAGGAAUCCACCUCCCAGUCCUGGCAGGGUGACCAGGAGCAGGAAACCUUGCAGGCAGCUGGAAGAGCAUGACCCGCAAUCCAGAGAGAAAGAGGCAGAGACACAGGCAGAGGGAGAAGCAGGCUCCAUGCGGGGAGCCCGACGUGGGACUCGAUACUGGGACUCCAGGAUCAUGCCCUGGGCCAAAGAAUUGAGAGAUGUAUGGCCCCAGAUGGGCACAAGAGGCCUUGGCCUGACACAUGCUAACAGCCAGACCACCAACUCAUCAGCUUGCUGUAUUUGCCAAACAUGCUUUGAAGACUGGCUUUCUUAA
rnacentral:lncRNA from 1 species